ACAAACUGAAAAGGAAACCCGAGCGACACCCGAUUCCAACCUGUCAAUCUUUGCCCUCUAACAACUCAAAGGAACCUGACUGGUUGGAGUACAUACACAAAACAGUUCAGCGGAGAAUCCAUGUUUGAAGAAUAUCCUAUGAGUUCCAAUCUGUUUCUGUGGCUACUCUUCCCCCCUCCCGCAAGCAAGCCGCUUGAUUCCGAACCAGCAUCUUUUCUUGUUUUAUUUUGUAUGUGUGCCGGCGGAUCAAGAUAAAGGAACCUCUGGCCUUCAAUUUCCCUUGAUACAUAUCCGUUAAUUGUUAAUGGGCUCGCGCGCUUCUUAGUUUCCAGGAUCCACACCCACAGGGUCGCCAUGCCGUAAUCGACAUAGGAUUUGCCAUCCUGCCCUAUAUCCUUCAUAACCAGGGGUUGCGUCCCUGUCGUUGGCCCGUUUGCCUCUUUACUUUGAUUCUUCCGUCUCCGCAAUACGCGCAAUUUUGGUUACGCGGUUCCAUUGUUAUUCCAGCACGUAUCUGAUCUGGCAUACAAGAACGAUGGUUCCAUCCAGUGUCAUGUAAUUCACAUGGUGAAGAAAGAAAUUUAUCCAAUGAGAAGGCCUGUCAGAGCUAAGAUCAAAAGAAGAUCUGUCGUCAAGGCGAUGGGUGGAUAAUGAUGUGAGAUUGGAGAGUUAUGUUCCUCUGUUCAAAUAGAGCCAUGUCUGAGUUCCUAUGGGGGGAUACGUCACCGGCA
rnacentral:sRNA from 2 species